CAAAAUAAAAAGAGAAUAAUGUUUUUCUGUUAAACUGUGAUGUUUUCCUAUCAUCAAAUUAGUUCAAUGUUUAGGUGAUGAUGAUGUAAUUAAAAUGUACCAUUAGUUCUUUUUUAGAGGGAGUGUCAAUGAUCCCAAAUGACAUAACUUGAAACAAGUAUUUUUAUAUUGUUAAACUUAGCAAAAUUUCUCACUGUGAUGAUUAUAGAUAUGAUUUAUCAUCUAUAGAGCAUAAUAUUGUCGGAUAAAGCACUACACAGAUCAUGGUGUUGUCUAUGGUUGAAGAUUUAUGCACCUGUUAAUGAUUAUGGGAUGACAGCAUAUUCUAACUAAGGAUGCUACAGAUCUACCGUUCCUCUUAGGAGAAGUGUCAUUCUCAGAGGAUGCUUCCAGUAUUUGAUUGGGUCCCAAGAAUAUUCUGUUGGCUUAUGAACUUCUUCGAUUGUUUAUUUCUUUUUGCAGGUUGGAUUUGGAAAGAUCAGAUGUAGAAUCCCACAGCUGUUGGUGUGAUUUAAGAUUUCAAGAAAUGACCUGCUUUUGUCAUGAUCAACCAUGCCGAACUAUAUCGUGCUUCUUUUACUGGUUGAUUGAUGUUACAUUCACAUUGAAAUCUAUUGGAGCUUUGAGAUACAGUUUUGCCGGGUUGAUUUUCUCUUGUAUAAAAAUGAAGCAAUUGUCAUGGUUAGGUAAAGCUUCUAGAUAAGGUCAACUGAACCUGGAUGUUGCUGCAAUGAGUUACACCAUGUAGCGAUUGAGCAAUUGGCUGACUUACAGCUUAUUCCUAAGUUAAUGCUGAAUUACAAAUGAUUUCAACAGGUAAUUCUCCGUGAAACUAUUGGUUGUUCCGCCAUAUGUGUAGGUUCUUCAGUAACAUUUGUAUGUAUGCUUCAUUUAGUUUUUUCAUUUUCAUGUUCACAGUGAUGGUUCCAUAUUUCACUUAUUGCAGUUCUAUGCACUUUGACUGGUUUUCAGUCAUCUUGGUGUUGUGAGUUUUUGUCGUGUUAAUUGAUAUGAUUGCGGUUUUAAAAUGUACAAUUGUUGCUAAUAAGUUUAGCUCUUUUAAAGUGAACAAUUUGCUUUAGAGGAUAAGGUGGUCUCCUUUUCAACCAUAGAUAAAUAAAUCAACAAAUGAUAUUGUGUAUGCAUAACAAAUAAUGCUCAAUUAGGAAUAUCAAAAGUUGUGUUUUUUAUCUUCUCAAUAACGAUUGACAUGUCUUACUUUAUCCUCUAAAGCGAAAACCCACUUUAGAGGAGCCUAGUGAGAGAUGCCGGAUAACUUUAGGAUUUUUCCUUUCUCAAGAACAUGAGACAUUAUUUUGGUGAUUGUGAGUCACAUUUGAAGGUUUUCCCCUUUUCUUUUGGUCUUUUUUUUUCCCUCUCACUCUUCCCUCCCCUUCUUUCCCCGAUUUAACUUUUUCUGGUUAGGUUAAGCAAUGGAUAUGAUGAUCUUAUGAGCAGCUGCAAAAUGUCUUCACCAGAUGGUUCUGUGAAGUUUGUUUUUAGAAGUUCUUUGUAUUAUAUUUUCCCUAUUUUUUAGGGUUAAAUGUCCUAAUAUAAUCUGUUCUCUCUCCACAAACUGGUCUGGUCACUGACCGCAUCCCCGAUAAGUUGGACCUUAUAUUAGGGUAUUCGGCUUUGCAUAUAGUAUAUAAUAUAUGCAAAGCCCGAUAAGUGUUUGUUCUGCAUAUAGUAUAAUAAUAUAAUAAAAAUAAAAUAACAAGGUUAGUUUGUUCUUA